CGUAGGUGAACCUGCGGAAGGAUCAUUAAUGAAAUGUAAGGAUGCUCUUUUUAGAGGUCCGACCAAAUCAUUUUCCUUUCUACACUGNUGCACACACNUACANCUUUWUACACCNUUUUUAACUCUUCAGNUUUUAAGAAUGUAUAACAGUNCUCUUUAUUGAGCAUAAAUAAAAUAAAACUUUCAGCAACGGAUCUCUUGGCUCUCGCAUCGAUGAAGAACGCAGCGAAAUGCGAUACGUAAUGUGAAUUGCAGAAUUCAGUGAAUCAUCGAAUCUUUGAACGCACCUUGCACUCUUUGGUAUUCCGAAGAGUAUGUCUGUUUGAGUGUCAUGAAACUCUCAACCCCCUUAUUUUGUAAUGAUAUAAGUGUGGGCUUGGUUCAUGGUUGUUGAAGGCUUAACAGUCUUCUCAACUGAAAUACACGAGCUACCUAUUUUAUAAUAGACGGUUUGACUCGGCGUAAUANACUAUUUCGCUGAGGACGUCCUWWYAUAAUAGUAAAUGGUGCUUCUAAUUWAACAUCAAUUUAAGAUUUAGACCUCAAAUCAGUCAGGACUACCCGCUGAACUUAAGCAUAUCAAUAAGCG
rnacentral:rRNA from 1 species